AUGUCUCUUGGUGACUUGUCAGCAUACCUUGGAGGUUUGCUGAGGAGGAGGAGGGAAAACUACGUUGUUAAGAUACGAAGCUGUCCUAAGGCCCUGCAGCUCUGGCUCAUCAGGAUGACAGUAUUUGCGUUCAAUGGACUUGGUAAUUAUACCGAGGAAUUUAAGCUGACCUCAUCAAGCCUGCUUUCUCUUUUAAAAUGUAUUUCUGUGUCAAUUAAAAUGCCUGAGUAUAAAAAGCAAAGUUUUUAUAGGCCCAGCCAUACAAAUUCAUUAUUGCGCUAUUAUAUACUUGGCAGUCUACAAAUAUGCCAGUGAUUAACUUCGUGUGCAUUAUAGCUGCCAGUGUUGUAGCAUUUCAGAUAAGUGUGGCUAUUGUCUGCACUCAGCUGACUGGAAUUGCUAUGGAUAUUGCCCUUGGAUAUCCUGGAGAAAGCAAGUCCUUUCUGCUUGAUAGUGGCUGUCUGUGAGAUGAAGCUCAUAUUGGAUCCAGAAGCAUCACAGUCAAAGGACAGAUAACUGUUCCUGGAAAACAGCUGGAGAGGCUGCUUUCUGCAGGGUGCCAGACAGAGGUGGCAAAUUCCUCUUUGGGUCCAGUUCUCAACUCUGCCCAUGUGUGGUUUGAUGGCCUUGGUCAACUGUUUCCCUAAACCAUGUGUUUCCAACGUUACUGCUAUUUCAUCCCAUUUGUAUGUCUGCUUUACAUUGUAAAUUUUAUGGGGCAAGGGCUGUUUUAUGAGUGGCCGUUACUACGUUAUUGUAUAAAUAUUAUCAACUAAGCUGAAAUUUCUCUAGCACUUGCUCCUCUGUCUUAACCUCUAUGAUAGCAGUGGUAGUGGGGAGAUGGAACAGUUCACCACUGGACACCAAGACCCAAGGGAAAAUACACCAUCCCAGCAUAAAAGUGGUGAAGCAGGUCAAGAGAAGUUAACCAAUGUGCCCAGGAGACACCUGAGAGGGGUACAGCAGAGCAGGCUAUACCCCAGAUCUUCUGUUUUGUGCUGCACCUGUAGACAUAUCCUUUUCCCUUGUACCUUCCACAUUGUUUAGUUAAAAAAAUACAAUAAUAUCUAUCCCUACUGGUAAAUAUUUCAAAAUACUUAAUAUAAAACUCAAUAAAGUGAUAAUGCCAAUGGAGUAGGAAACUAUU
rnacentral:lncRNA from 1 species